GUUGGUUUCUCCCUUCUGACGAACCAUGAUGUCAUUUAUUUGGUGUUGUGGGGAAUCAGGACUGUUACUUUGAAAAAAUUAGAGUGUUUAAAGCAGGCUCACGCUUGAAUACAUUAGCAUGGAAUAAUGAAAUAGGACGUUUGAUUCUAUUUUGUUGGUUUCUAGGAUCGACGUAAUGAUUAAUAGGGAUAGUUGGGGGCAUUAGUAUUCAAUUGUCAGAGGUGAAAUUCUUGGAUUUAUUGAAGACUAACUACUGCGAAAGCAUUUGCCAAGGAUGUUUUCAUUAAUCAAGAACGAAAGUUAGGGGAUCGAAGACGAUCAGAUACCGUCGUAGUCUUAACCAUAAACUAUGCCGACUAGGGAUCGGAUGAUGUUAAUUUUUUAAUGACUCAUUCGGCGCCUUACG
rnacentral:rRNA from 1 species